AGAGUUUGAUCCUGGCUCAGAGCGAACGCUGGCGGCGUGCUUAACACAUGCAAGUCGAGUGCGCAGCUGUAGCAAUACAGCGGGCGCACGGCGCACGGGUGCGUAACACGUGGGCAAUCUGCCCUCGGAUGGGGGAUAACCCCGCGAAAGCGGGGCUAAUACCGCAUGACAUUCCUGGGACUCCGGUCCCGGGACUCAAA
rnacentral:rRNA from 1 species